GAGUUUGAUCCUGGCUCAGAACGAACGCUGGCGGCAGGCUUAAUACAUGCAAGUCGAACGGCUGUAGCAAUACAGCAGUGGCAGACGGGUGAGUAACACGUGGGAACCUACCUAGGGGUACGGAAUAACUCAGGGAAACUUGUGCUAAUACCGUAUACGACCUCAGGGUG
rnacentral:rRNA from 1 species